rnacentral:tRNA from 1 species
UAAGAUGGCCGAGCUGUUAAGCGGUGGAUUGUAGGCCCACGAACGGGGGUUCAACCCCUCCUCUUGC